UACGGAGGGUGCGAGCGUUGUCCGGAAUCACUGGGCGUAAAGGGCGCGUAGGCGGCGCGGGCAGUCAACGGUGAAAGCUUGGGGCUCAACCCCGAGUCGGCCGUCGAUACUCCCGUGCUUGAGCACUGUAGAGGCAGGUGGAAUUCCACGUGUAGCGGUGAGAUGCGUAGAGAUGUGGAGGAACACCAAUGGCGAAGGCAGCCUUCUGGGCCAACACUGACGCUCAUGCACGAAAGCGUGGGGAGCAAACAGG
rnacentral:rRNA from 1 species